GAUGAACGCUAGCGGGAGGCCUAACACAUGCAAGCCGAGCGGUAGAGUUUCUUCGGAAACUUGAGAGCGGCGCACGGGUGCGUAACACGUGUGCAACCUACCUUUAUCUGGGGGAUAGCCUUUCGAAAGGAAGAUUAAUACCCCAUAAUAUAAUGAUUGGCAUCAAUUAUUAUUGAAAACUCCGGUGGAUAGAGAUGGGCACGCGCAAGAUUAGAUAGUUGGUGAGGUAACGGCUCACCAAGUCAAUGAUCUUUAGGGGUCCUGAGAGGGAGAUCCCCCACACUGGUACUGAGACACGGACCAGACUCCUACGGGAGGAAGCAGUGAGGAAUAUUGGACAAGGGGUGAGGGCCUGAUCCAGCCAUCCCGCGUGAAGGAUGACGGUCCUAUGGAUUGUAAACUUCUUUUGUACAGGGAUAAACCUACCCUCGGGAGGGUAGCUGAAGGUACUGUACGAAUAAGCACCGGCUAACUCCGUG
rnacentral:rRNA from 1 species